rnacentral:rRNA from 1 species
UCAGGAUGAACGCUAGCGGCAGGCUUAACACAUGCAAGUCGAGGGGCAGCGUGAAGAAGUAGCAAUACUGAUUUGACGGCGACCGGCGCACGGGUGCGUAACGCGUAUGUAACCUACCUUUAACAGGGGGAUAACACUGAGAAAUUGGUACUAAUACCCCAUAAUACUUUGGAAGGCAUCUUCUGGAGUUGAAAGUUCCGGCGGUUAGAGAUGGACAUGCGUUGUAUUAGCUAGAUGGUGAGGUAACGGCUCACCAUGGCGACGAUACAUAGGGGGACUGAGAGGUUAACCCCCCACACUGGUACUGAGACACGGACCAGACUCCUACGGGAGGCAGCAGUGAGGAAUAUUGGUCAAUGGGCGCAAGCCUGAACCAGCCAUGCCGCGUGCAGGAUGACGGCUCUACGAGUUGUAAACUGCUUUUGUACAAGGGUAAACCUCGGUACGCGUACCGAGCUGAAAGUACUGUACGAAUAAGGAUCGGCUAACUCCGUGCCAGCAGCCGCGGUAAUACGGAGGAUCCAAGCGUUAUCCGGAUUUAUUGGGUUUAAAGGGUGCGUAGGCGGAAUAGUAAGUUAGAGGUGAAAGCUCGGGGCUCAACUCCGGAACUGCCUCUGAUACUGCUAAUCUAGAGAGUAGAUGCGGUAGGCGGAAUGUAUGGUGUAGCGGUGAAAUGCUUAGAGAUCAUACAGAACACCGAUUGCGAAGGCAGCUUACCAAACUAUAUCUGACGUUGAGGCACGAAAGCGUGGGGAGCAAACAGGCUUAGAUACCCUGGUAGUCCACGCAGUAAACGAUGAUAGCUCGUUGUCGGCGAUACACAGUCGGUGACUUAGAGAAAUCGAUAAGCUAUCCACCUGGGGAGUACGUUCGCAAGAAUGAAACUCAAAGGGAUUGACGGGGGCCCGCACAAGCGGAGGAACAUGUGGUUUAAUUCGAUGAUACGCGAGGAACCUUACCCGGGCUUGAAAGUUAGUGACGGACUUGGAAACAGGUCUUCCCUUCGGGGCACGAAACUAGGUGCUGCAUGGUUGUCGUCAGCUCGUGCCGUGAGGUGUCGGGUUAAGUCCCGCAACGAGCGCAACCCCUAUUGUUAGUUGCUACGCAAGAGCACUCUAGCGAGACUGCCGUUGACAAAACGGAGGAAGGUGGGGACGACGUCAAAUCAUCAUGCCCCUUAUAUCUUGGGCUACACACGUAAUACAAUGGUGGUAAACAGAGGGAUGCAAAGCUGUGAGGCAGAGCGAACCCCUAAAAGCCAUCUCAGUUCAGAUUGUGGGCUGCAACCCGCCCACAUGAAGUCGGAAUCGCUAGUAAUCGCGGAUCAGCAUGCCGCGGUGAAUACG